CUGAAAUUCAUGGCCCCUGAAGGAAACCAAAGCCGGGAAAAAGUCCUGUGUUCCUGUGGGCCCUUUUGGGGCUCGAGCUCUUUCUCAGCACCUCUUCGUGUUGCCAGCCUGGCCUUGGAGCAGACCCAAGGUAAAUAAUUAUUGCUUCAUGCUGUGCUGACUGCUGCAGAGGGCUCAUCUAAAAUGGAAAGACAUGAGAAGAGCAGACACGGUCAGAAGGGGCAGCGCUGUGGGGAUCUGGUGCUCUGGGAAUGGUUCCUGCCACGUUGGGUUGUGGCACAACGUGCACCAAAUCUGCACUUGUUUCCACAAAAUGAAGUUAAUGGUGAAUAUGUAAAAUAAGCUUCCUAAAGCUGCAAAUGCUUUUCAUCUGACUCCAGCUUCUCUAGAAAUGGUCCAUAAAUGGCACAAAAGUCCUGAGGAAACUAAGCCUAAAGCAUCUUGUUCACAUAGACUGAAUGCUGGAGUCUUCCUAUUAUAUGAAUAUUCUUGAUGCUUCGCUUCUUACUAAAGACUAGCAAAUCUUUAUCAGUUUAUAGCUCUGCAUAGGUUAUUAGUUGUUUCAGGCUUGCACGGCUCUGUUUUUCUUCAUUAAUAUUAGGCUUUUAGCCUUUGAAUUUUUUCUUUUUGAAGAGCUCCAAGUCCAUGGCUGAAGAUCUGAAGUCUUUCUUCAUUAAAAAGAGCAACAACAACUACAGUGUGCAAAUGAGACAUUUAGGGAAACAGAGCAGAAGCAGUUCUAUCUGGAUUGGGCGGCUCUUCUGCAGCGUCCCCAGGUGCUGCAGCAUCUCCCCCUGGGCACCAGCACUGGGUGUCCCCAGCACUGGGUGUCCCCAGCACUGGGUGUCCCCAGCACUGGGUGUCCCCAGCACUGGGUGUCCCCAGCACUGGGUGUCCCCAGCUCUGCAGCAAGGCAAGACUCUGCCUUGCAGUGCACCAAGAUCCAGGCCUUGGGUGGAAAUGCACCAGCCUAGGUUCAAACCUUCCAAAUGACCUUAAAAUGAGGGCUUGGUCUGAACCCUGUGGAUCAGGAUUCCCAUUAUCUGUGGACACUUCUUGGCUCGAAUCAAAACCCAGGAGGGAGAGGCUGUUCUGGGGGAAGGCGCUGAAGACCGGAAAACUUACAGAAACUCUGAAGUGCAACCGAGCCAGUAUGAAAAACUUUGGGGUAAAAUUUGUUUCAAGUUUCUGGUGAGGCAGCAGCAUGGACAAGCCCUUGGCAGAAGCCUGGGUGAGGAUUUUGCGAGGUGAGAGAAGCAGCCUCCUUGGAAAGGUUCUGGCUCAGUUUUUGGGUUGCAGCCCCUGCUGCCUGCCAUCACUCUGUGCUUUGCCCAGCCCAAAGCUGAGCCUCCAGCCACGCUCCCCAGCAGCAUUGACAGAGCCGUGUAGAUGGAUCCUGGGGGCAGCAGCACCAGCAAGAUGCAGGUGUGGAGAGCUUGGGGGCUGGCUCGAGUGGCAGUGAGUCCACAGCAGGCUCAGCGUGCCCAAUUUAUGGCCAUUUACAUGUGAAAUUGCGCUGAUCUAAUUUGCAUAUGCAGUCAUAGUAAUCGCGGGCCAAUUAAACUUGUAGUUCACAAAAUCUGGGCCUGAAACCUUUACAAUUCUUACAAACAUACUAAUCUGAGUGUAUAUAUCACUUCAUCAAAUUCAUGAAACCAUAAAUUGUGCCUGUCUGGCAUCACCAGCUGCAUGCGGGAGUCGCUGGGGCUGGGCUGAAGGAGCCAUCGGCCCCAUGCAGCGGCUGGGGAAGAUAUUUUUAAUGAGCUCUUCCCUAUUCAAGGAUUGAAUCAGCGCUGUUAGGAUGUCAGGGUAAGAUUCAUUGCAAUAUCUGUGGGAGAUUUAUCUUUAUUCUUCCGUUUUUUUAAAAACGUAGUUGUCCUGGAGGAGUUGUUACAAUGUCAAUAAAUGUGUCAUCUACAUUUGUUAGUGCAAAUGCAGUUAUAAAA